AAUGUUACUCUGAACUUGUGCUGCGUAUGUGUGAGAAUGUGGUAUGAAAGACUCUUUGUGAAUGAGGUAGUUAUUAUUAUCAAGACACAAGACGGAUAGUCACAUGACUUUAUACUAUUCACUGAAUUUCCGCUUUAACGAACUAACAUCGGGUGCUCUUAGCCUAGCUGUUGAACUGGCUAGAUGUAUAUAUUCAUCCUAUAUAGAUUGUAAUAUCUGUGAAUUCUUGUGUGUGUCCCGGAAGCCUUUCUUGGGGUCAGAUUUGUAACUUCUUUGUAUGCAUCCGCUCCAGCUUGAUAACUAAUAUUUUCAAAGGAAGAAAAAAAAACAGAUUAACAGGUCGUAACAGUGACGUCUAUUGUGUUUCUUUCCUGUGGCAAGAAAUUCAGUGGUGGAUCCGGCAGAGUUGUUUUUUCAACAGAGUAACAGACCAGCAAUGCGCUACAGAUGUAUCUCGCUCUAUCUAGGUAACGUAAUUGAAACCAGGAAAACGACGAUCUUGUGGAUCAAAAAAGUGCACUGUAAAAUAAUUCAAUUUGCAUUCAUGGAAAUGGCAUAUAAGUUUUCAAAAUGUUUAACUUUCAAACUGCUACGAUAACAGAAGUGACGUAAUGAACUAGAAUUUACAAAUAUUUUGAACUAUUUGAUAAAUAGACAGAUCUCAUUACAAAAUGAA